CUAGCGUUGUUCGGAUUAACUGGGCGGAAAGCGCGCGUAGGCGGGUUUUUAAGUCAGGGGUGAAAUCCCAAGGCUCAACCUUGGAACUGCCUUUGAUACUGGAAAUCUUGAGUCCGGGAGAGGUGAGUGGAACUGCGAGUGUAGAGGUGAAAUUCGUAGAUAUUCGCAAGAACACCAGUGGCGAAGGCGGCUCACUGGCCCGGUACUGACGCUGAGGUGCGAAAGCGUGGGGAGCAAACAGG
rnacentral:rRNA from 1 species